rnacentral:lncRNA from 1 species
CCGCCUCUUGGGUUCAAGCAAUUCUCCUGCCUCAGCCUCCCGAGUAGCUGGGGUUACAGGCGCCCACCACCAUCCCCGGCUAAUUAUUAUAUUAUUAGUAGAGACGGAGUUUCACCAUGUUGGCCAGGCUGGUCUGGAACUCCUGACCUCAGGUGAUCCACCUGCUUUGGCCUCCCAAAGUGCUGGGAUUACAGGCGUGAGCUACCACCACCAGCCUGACAUUCCAUUUUAAAACCAGGACAGUCAUGGGCAAACUGGGACAAGUCAGUCACCCACCGCCUAAACCCCCACCCGGUUUAGCCACCAACUUUCUCCAAUUUUAUUCCUCAGACUGCGCUGCAAAAGAGAGGUGGGGGACGGGGUGAGGGCCCGUGAUGGCCUAGAGGAGGGCUCCCCAGGAGAUGGUGGAAGAACUUUAGUGAAGGCGAGAAUUGGAGAGCACCCCUUUUGCAGCAGCAUUCUCUCAGCCCC